rnacentral:lncRNA from 1 species
GACACCGGCCCCAGAAAUAUGGACUGAGAUAGAGUGGGGUCGAAACCGAAACUAUUAAGUCGUAUUUCAAUCCUUGGCUGCCUUGGCUGGCUUGGCUUCGUGCCAAUUCAAAGCCGCAAGCAACUUCUGGAUCCUUGUUCGUUCCGGAGAGGACACAAAGGCCUUUCUCGGAGUGCGUCGGUCGAUCCGAGUUUAGGAAGUCUGUAUCAUCAAGAAAAAACUGCAGGUGGCUGGAAGCUGCCGAUCAGCUGCCAGUCUGGAUAGUAGCCAUCAACUCAGCAAAGGCCUGCAGGCGAAUCAGCCCAACCUGUUUCUCUGCUGCCUUUCAAGACAGGAUGCUUUGUGAAAAGUGAAACGGGGCCCACGCACUGCUUCCGCAGGGCCCUGCUGUGGGAGCUCAUGGAGGUGGCACGGUGCAUGGAAGGACAGAGUGGCUGACAGUGAGCUGCCCAAGCAAGCUGCUGGCUCUUGUGACCGUCUCCGAAAGCCUGUGGAUGGGCUAAAUUGCAGACGUGCCUGGACAUUUAUAAAUGGUGCUGCUAUCCAGCUCUACGUCACAGCCAUGAAGUGGCCAUGGGGUGAACUAUGUACAACUGCUGUCAUUAGUACUCGAAUCGGCAGAGCCACCUACUAGCUGUGAAGCCCAGUUGCCAGGCAGCAGAUACUCGACCAGCAACCAGCCUUUGUCGCUCUAGUGGGACACGAGAGCGACAAACAGAAACAAACGACAGCUACAAGCCUCCAACCCAUUCAGCAUGCCCGUGGUGGUACUUUUG